rnacentral:rRNA from 1 species
GCUUGCUCUCGGGUGACGAGCGGCGGACGGGUGAGUAAUGUCUGGGAAACUGCCUGAUGGAGGGGGAUAACUACUGGAAACGGUAGCUAAUACCGCAUAACGUCGCAAGACCAAAGUGGGGGACCUUCGGGCCUCAUGCCAUCAGAUGUGCCCAGAUGGGAUUAGCUGGUAGGUGGGGUAACGGCUCACCUAGGCGACGAUCCCUAGCUGGUCUGAGAGGAUGACCAGCCACACUGGAACUGAGACACGGUCCAGACUCCUACGGGAGGCAGCAGUGGGGAAUAUUGCACAAUGGGCGCAAGCCUGAUGCAGCCAUGCCGCGUGUGUGAAGAAGGCCUUCGGGUUGUAAAGCACUUUCAGCGGGGAGGAAGGCGAUGAGGUUAAUAACCUUGUCGAUUGACGUUACCCGCAGAAGAAGCACCGGCUAACUCCGUGCCAGCAGCCGCGGUAAUACGGAGGGUGCAAGCGUUAAUCGGAAUUACUGGGCGUAAAGCGCACGCAGGCGGUCUGUCAAGUCGGAUGUGAAAUCCCCGGGCUCAACCUGGGAACUGCAUUCGAAACUGGCAGGCUAGAGUCUUGUAGAGGGGGGUAGAAUUCCAGGUGUAGCGGUGAAAUGCGUAGAGAUCUGGAGGAAUACCGGUGGCGAAGGCGGCCCCCUGGACAAAGACUGACGCUCAGGUGCGAAAGCGUGGGGAGCAAACAGGAUUAGAUACCCUGGUAGUCCACGCUGUAAACGAUGUCGAUUUGGAGGUUGUGCCCUUGAGGCGUGGCUUCCGGAGCUAACGCGUUAAAUCGACCGCCUGGGGAGUACGGCCGCAAGGUUAAAACUCAAAUGAAUUGACGGGGGCCCGCACAAGCGGUGGAGCAUGUGGUUUAAUUCGAUGCAACGCGAAGAACCUUACCUGGUCUUGACAUCCACAGAACUUUCCAGAGAUGGAUUGGUGCCUUCGGGAACUGUGAGACAGGUGCUGCAUGGCUGUCGUCAGCUCGUGUUGUGAAAUGUUGGGUUAAGUCC